UGAGGAAUAUUGGUCAAUGGGCGCAAGCCUGAACCAGCCAUCCCGCGUGCAGGAUGACGGCCCUAUGGGUUGUAAACUGCUUUUAUACACCAAGAAAAACAUCCACGAGUGGGUGCCCGACGGUAGUGUAUGAAUAAGCAUCGGCUAACUCCGUGCCAGCAGCCGCGGUAAUACGGAGGAUGCAAGCGUUAUCCGGAUUCAUUGGGUUUAAAGGGUGCGUAGGCGGCUUUUUAAGUCAGUGGUGAAAUCUUGCCGCUUAACGGUAAAAUUGCCAUUGAUACUGAAAAGCUUGAGUACAAUUGAGGUAAGCGGAAUGUGUAGUGUAGCGGUGAAAUGCUUAGAUAUUACACAGAACACCAAUUGCGAAGGCAGCUUACUAUGGUGUGAUUGACGCUGAGGCACGAAAGCGUGGGGAUCAAACA
rnacentral:rRNA from 1 species